GCCGAUCUCUGGCAACAGAGCGCCGGAUGCCGGAAAGUUGGUCAAACUUGAUCAUUUAGAGGAAGUAAAAGUCGUAACAAGGUUUCCGUAGGUGAACCUGCGGAAGGAUCAUUACCGAUCUUAAUCCAAGAACAACAUCCGUUGUCUUGCUCUGUGAACCCUACCUAACCAUUGAGGGGUCGGCCAGGCCGUUAAAUGGCGACCGGACGCGCGGCGACGCGCGGCCGUCUCGCCAGCCCCGCCUCGUGUUUUCCCCACCUACUUGUCUGUCGUCUGAUGUGGCGGCGCUCGGCGCCAAAGUUGGAAGGAAAAAAGCCAGAGACAACUUUUGACGGUGGAUCUCUUGGCUCACGCAUCGAUGAAGAACGCAGCCAGCUGCGAUAAGUAGUGUGAAUUGCAGAAUUCAGUGAAUCAUCGAAUCUUUGAACGCAAAUGGCGCUCUUGGGUUCUCCCAGGAGCAUGUCUGUCUGAGUGUCGGAAAUCAUCCAUCGCAGGAGGGCGGGCUUGCCGCCCUCGCCCUGCCGCGUUGAGGCGUCACGGCCGCGCGGACUCCGUUGCGGCCGUGUCCCUUGAAAGGCAGAGAGACUCGCCGCGGUUGUGUUCCAUCCCGCCCCGCACCAGCGGAGGCUAAAAGUACGGGCAGUCCUUCGCGCGCUGGUGGGGUGCCCGCCGCGCCCGUCGCCGAGGCGAACGUGUAUGCAUAUCUUCUUGACCUCAGAU
rnacentral:sRNA from 1 species